UUGCUGAGGAACAUGGCAGGUUUUAGACAGAACCUUGACAAUGGUCAGAAAGGGAAACUCAGUUUUUGUACAGAGGAAGGUUAAGGAGAACCACUGUGUGUAUACUUUCGGCUUGGGGACCAGGAUAGAAAUCAAACGUAAUGAUGCCCGGCCAACUGCUGCCAUCUUCCAGACAUUUCUAGAGGAGAAACUUACUGGAUCUGCCACUGUCGUAUGCUUUAUAAAUAACUUCUACCCCAGAGACAUUGAUGUCACGUGGAAGGUGGAUGGUGUUACCCAAACGAAUGGCAUUCAGAACAGUGUCACGGAGCAGAGCAGCGAAGACAGCACCUACAGCCUCAGCAGCACCCUGACGAUGACCAGUACAGCAUUUGACCGUCACGACAACUUUGUCUGUGAGGUCCGCCAUAAGAGCCUGAGCUCGCCCCUUAUCAAGAGCUUCAAUAGGAAGGAUCAUUAGAGCGAGAGGCCUGCAGGCAUCACCACCUGCUCUCCAGGCCCAGCCUUACACCCCUUCCUUAGGCCUCAGACCCUUUCCCUGUGGUGAUCUACCACAUUGCAGUCUUCCAGCCUCUUCCCUCACCCCCAUAUCCCUUCCUCCUCCUUGGCUUUAAUCAUGCAAACCUUGGGAAGUAAAAAAAUCAGUAAAUAAAGUGGAUCUUUGCACCUCUGA